UCCACUAUAUCCAUGAUAUCUUUUCUCAUUUGAUUGUUUAUAAUAUUUACUAUUGCGAAAUUGACUCUCUAACAGAGUUUGAUAGGAAGAUACGUUUUACAUACACCAAACCGAAAAAGACUACCUUUUUAAACCGACACCAUCGUUUGACCAAGUUUAAGAGGAAAUAGCUACUCUCUAAUGUUUUGUGGCUUUGUUUACUUGAAAAUGAUGGUGAUUAUUUAUGUACAUGGUUGGAUUUCAGUGGCUAAGUGUUAAUACACGCCUUUCCUCUUCCUGGACUUGGAAAAUGAUUGGAUGAUGAGGAGAAGGAAGCCAUUCUUACAGGUGUUUAGCACAGGUACUUGCAAAACUGUAACACCAAGAAUCAACAGCCAAAUGAUUAUUGUUUUCCCUGGAAGCCCAAUCAAGUAUGAAAAGAAUUCCUUGGAGGAGGUUGGGAAAAAGUUCAAAAAGAAUAGUGUCGCUCUUCGCAUUGUCAAUUUUUGAGUAGAUAAUGACGAGGAAAAACCUCAGAAACUGGAGCCCCUCCUUUCAGCCGUCAAUAACAACGACGGUAGCCACAUUGUUCAUAUUCCUUCUCAAGCCAAUGCUUUGUCGAUGUCCUUCUCAGAUAUUAUAAACAGAACAGUCCAGACAUUAGAUCUAGGUUGACGACAACAUUGGAUGUGAUUGUAUAUCUCUAUAUCAUUGAUACACAUUUUAUUUUCUAAAUAAUAUUGAAAUUUUUUUUGAAUUA